rnacentral:rRNA from 1 species
AUACGGUGGGUCCAAGCGUUAUCCGGAAUCAUUGGGUUUAAAGGGUCCGCAGGCGGUCAAUUAAGUCAGAGGUGAAAGCCCAUCGCUCAACGAUGGAACUGCCUUUGAUACUGGUUGACUUGAGUUAUACGGAAGUAGAUAGAAUAAGUAGUGUAGCGGUGAAAUGCAUAGAUAUUACUUAGAAUACCGAUUGCGAAGGCAGUCUACUACGUAUAUACUGACGCUGAGGGACGAAAGCGUGGGGAGCGAACAGAAUUAGAAACCCCAGUAGUCC